GUUAAGAAUCUUGCGCAAUGGGGGGAACCCUGACGCAGCGACGCCGCGUGGAUGAUGAAGGCCUUCGGGUUGUAAAGUCCGGUAAGCAGGGAAGAAUAAGUGUGGGGUAAUAUUCCACAUGAUGACGGUACCUGCCUAAAGCCCCGGCUAACUACGUGCCAGCAGCCGCGGUAAUACGUAUGGGGCAAGCGUUGUUCGGAAUUAUUGGGCGUAAAGGGCGUCUAGGCGGGGGAUUAAGUUAGAUGUGAAAGCUAUGGGCUCAACCCAUAAAUUGCAUCUAAGACUGGUUCUCUUGAGUCCGGGAGAGGAGAGCGGAAUUCCAGGUGUAGCGGUGAAAUGCGUAGAUAUCUGGAAGAACACCAGUGGCGAAGGCGGCUCUCUGGCCUAGGACUGACGCUGAAGCGCGAAAGCGUGGGGAACAAACAGGAUUAGAAACCCGAGUAGUCC
rnacentral:rRNA from 1 species